UGGGGAAUACUGCACAAUGGGCGCAAGCCUGAUGCAGCCAUGCCGCGUGUGUGAAGAAGGCCUUCGGGUUGUAAAGCACUUUCAGCGAGGAGGAAGGUGGUGAACUUAAUACGUUCAUCAAUUGACGUUACUCGCAGAAGAAGCACCGGCUAACUCCGUGCCAGCAGCCGCGGUAAUACGGAGGGUGCAAGCGUUAAUCGGAAUUACUGGGCGUAAAGCGCACGCAGGCGGUUUGUUAAGUCAGAUGUGAAAUCCCCGGGCUCAACCUGGGAACUGCAUUUGAAACUGGCAAGCUAGAGUCUCGUAGAGGGGGGUAGAAUUCCAGGUGUAGCGGUGAAAUGCGUAGAGAUCUGGAGGAAUACCGGUGGCGAAGGCGGCCCCCUGGACGAAGACUGACGCUCAGGUGCGAAAGCGUGGGGAGCAAACAGAUUAGAUACCCUGGUAGUCACGCUGUAAACGAUGUCNAUUUUGGAGGGUUGUGCCCCUUGAGGCGUGGCUUCCGGAGCUAACGCGUUAAAUCGACCG
rnacentral:rRNA from 1 species